CCUACGGGAGGCAGCAGUGAGGAAUAUUGGUCAAUGGGCGCGAGCCUGAACCAGCCAAGUAGCGUGAAGGAUGACUGCCCUACGGGUUGUAAACUUCUUUUAUAAAGGAAUGAAGUGAGGCACGUGUGCCUUUUUGUAUGUACUUUAUGAAUAAGGAUCGGCUAACUCCGUGCCAGCAGCCGCGGUAAUACGGAGGAUCCGAGCGUUCUCCGGAUUUAUUGGGUUUAAAGGGAGCGUAGAUGGGUUGUUAAGUCAGUUGUGAAAGUUUGCGGCUCAACCGUAAAAUUGCAAUUGAUACUGGCAGCCUUGAGUACAGUUGAGGUAGGCGGAAUUCGUGGGGUAGCGGUGAAAUGCUGAGAGAUCACGAAGAACUCAGAGUGCGAAGGAAGCUUACUAAACUGCCACUGACAUUGAUGCUCGAAAGUGUGGGUAUCAAACAGGAUUAGAUACCCGGGUAGUC
rnacentral:rRNA from 1 species